GCUUAACACAUGCAAGUCGAGGGGCAGCACAGGUAGCAAUACCGGGUGGCGACCGGCGCACGGGUGAGUAACGCGUAUGCAACUUGCCUAUCAGAGGGGGAUAACCCGGCGAAAGUCGGACUAAUACCGCAUGAAGCAGGGGCCCCGCAUGGGGAUAUUUGCUAAAGAUUCAUCGCUGAUAGAUAGGCAUGCGUUCCAUUAGGCAGUUGGCGGGGUAACGGCCCACCAAACCGACGAUGGAUAGGGGUUCUGAGAGGAAGGUCCCCCACAUUGGUACUGAGACACGGACCAAACUCCUACGGGAGGCAGCAGUGAGGAAUAUUGGUCAAUGGGCGCGAGCCUGAACCAGCCAAGUCGCGUGAGGGAUGAAGGUUCUAUGGAUCGUAAACCUCUUUUAUAAGGGAAUAAAGUGCGGGACGUGUCCCGUUUUGUAUGUACCUUAUGAAUAAGGAUCGGCUAACUCCGUGCCAGCAGCCGCGGUAAUACGGAGGAUCCGAGCGUUAUCCGGAUUUAUUGGGUUUAAAGGGUGCGUAGGCGGCCUUUUAAGUCAGCGGUGAAAGUCUGUGGCUCAACCAUAGAAUUGCCGUUGAAACUGGGAGGCUUGAGUAUGUUUGAGGCAGGCGGAAUGCGUGGUGUAGCGGUGAAAUGCAUAGAUAUCACGCAGAACCCCGAUUGCGAAGGCAGCCUGCCAAGCCAUUACUGACGCUGAUGCACGAAAGCGUGGGGAUCAAACAGGAUUAGAUACCCUGGUAGUCCACGCAGUAAACGAUGAUCACUAGCUGUUUGCGAUACAUUGUAAGCGGCACAGCGAAAGCGUUAAGUGAUCCACCUGGGGAGUACGCCGGCAACGGUGAAACUCAAAGGAAUUGACGGGGGCCCGCACAAGCGGAGGAACAUGUGGUUUAAUUCGAUGAUACGCGAGGAACCUUACCCGGGUUUGAACGCAUUCGGACCGAGGUGGAAACACCUUUUCUAGCAAUAGCCGUUUGCGAGGUGCUGCAUGGUUGUCGUCAGCUCGUGCCGUGAGGUGUCGGCUUAAGUGCCAUAACGAGCGCAACCCUUGCCACUAGUUACUAACAGGUAAAGCUGAGGACUCUGGUGGGACUGCCAGCGUAAGCUGCGAGGAAGGCGGGGAUGACGUCAAAUCAGCACGGCCCUUACAUCCGGGGCGACACACGUGUUACAAUGGCGUGGACAAAGGGAAGCCACCUGGCGACAGGGAGCGAAUCCCCAAACCACGUCUCAGUUCGGAUCGGAGUCUGCAACCCGACUCCGUGAAGCUGGAUUCGCUAGUAAUCGCGCAUCAGCCAUGGCGCGGUGAAUACGUUCCCGGGCCUUGUACACACCGCCCGUCAAGCCAUGGGAGCCGGGGGUACCUGAAGUCCGUAACCGCGAGGAUCGGCCUAGGGUAAAACUGGUGACUGGGGCUAAGU
rnacentral:rRNA from 1 species